CUCUUUCUAGAUACACUUUCCAGUACAUCUACUUUGUUACGACUUAUUCCAUUUUAAAAUGAAAGCGACGGGCGAUAUGUACAUAUUUUAGAGCUUAAAUCAUUCUAAAUAAAUUUAUUAAAAUUACUUUCAAAUCCAAAUUCAAAUUUUUAUAAUAAAAAUUAUCCUUAAAUAAAUUUAAUGUAACCCAUUACUACUUUAAUAUAAACUACACCUUGAUCUGAUUUAUUUUUUAAUAAAAAUUCUUGAAUAUUAAUAUUCUAAUAAAAUAUUCAAACUACAACGAUAUGUAAACUAAUAAUUAAAGUAAAUAUUAUCGUGGACUAUCAAUUAAAGAACAGGUUCCUCUGAAAAGACUAAAAUACCGCCAAAUUUU
rnacentral:rRNA from 1 species